AGUGGGGAAUAUUGCGCAAUGGAGGAAACUCUGACGCAGCCAUGCCGCGUGAGUGAAGAAGGCCUUCGGGUUGUAAAACUCUUUCAACGGUGAAGAUGAUGACGGUAACCGUAGAAGAAGCACCGGCUAACUUCGUGCCAGCAGCCGCGGUAAUACGAAGGGUGCUAGCGUUGUUCGGAAUUACUGGGCGUAAAGGGCGUGUAGGCGGACAUAUCAGUCAGGGGUGAAAUCCCGGGGCUCAACCCCGGAACUGCCUUUGAUACUGUAUGUCUAGAAUCUGUGAGGGGAUAGUGGAAUAUCAAGUGUAGAGGUGAAAUUCGUAGAUAUUUGAUGGAACACCAGUGGCGAAAGCGACUAUCUGGCACAGUAUUGACGCUGAGGCGCGAAAGCGUGGGGAGCAAA
rnacentral:rRNA from 1 species